rnacentral:rRNA from 1 species
UACGAAGGGUGCAAACGUUGCUCGGAAUUAUUGGGCGUAAAGCGCACGUAGGCGGCUCUGCAAGUCGGAUGUGAAAUCCCUCGGCUCAACCAAGGAAGUGCAUCCGAAACUGCGGAGCUUGAGUACUUAAGAGGAUCGCGGAAUUCCCGGUGUAGAGGUGAAAUGCGUAGAUAUCUGGAGGAAUACCGGUGGCGAAGGCGGCAUCCUGGACCGGCAUUGACGCUGAGGAGCGAAAGCUAGGGGAGCAAACGGG